GAAGGCUGGCGUGCGGACGGGGCCCUCGCCAACCCGGUCAGAUCCGGAAGGAAGCAGCCGUAACGAGUUCGCCGCGGGUCGCAGGUUCAGUCUUCCAC
rnacentral:SRP_RNA from 1 species